GAUGAACGCUGGCGGCGUGCCUAACACAUGCAAGUCGAGCGUGAUUUAUGAGGACGAAACUUCGGUCUAGGAAUCAUAAUGAAAGCGGCGGACGGGUGAGUAACGCGUAGGCAACCUGCCCUUGACACAGGGAUAGCCUCGGGAAACCGGGAUUAAAACCUGAUAACGCCAAAGAGUCACAUGGCUCUUGGGCCAAAGAUUUAUCGGUCAAGGAUGGGCCUGCGUCUGAUUAGUUAGUCGGUGGGGUAACGGCCUACCAAGACGACGAUCAGUAGCCGAACUGAGAGGGUGAUCGGCCACAUUGGAACUGAGACACGGUCCAAACUCCUACGGGAGGCAGCAGUGGGGAAUAUUGCGCAAUGGGCGAAAGCCUGAUGCAGCAACGCCGCGUGAGCGAUGAAGGCCUUUGGGUCGUAAAGCUCUGUCCUUGGGGAAGAAACAAAUGACGGUACCCAAGGAGGAAGCCCCGGCUAACUACGUGCCAGCAGCCGCGGUAAGAC
rnacentral:rRNA from 1 species